CCCAUGAGACGAGGACUUCCGGCCACGGGCUUCUUCUAUUCGGUUUCUUCCCUUAUCUUGUUUCUUGUUAUUUGGAGACUCAUUCUGAAGCUGAUUGAUUUGAUCUGUCGGUGGCGCUUUCUGUUCUUUAUCUGUUUGUUCUCUUAUCUGAUGCUUUGGAAGAAUUCGAGACAUUCGAUAUCUGUUUGUUCUUAUGCCUGGUGCAUUCGCUUUCUUCAUCCUUUGUCUGUUUCUUCUCUCAUCCUGUUGCUUUGAAAGAAUUCGAAACAUUCGAUAUCUGUUUGUUCUCGUGUCUGGUCCGUGCGCUUGCUUUAUUCAUCCUCGUCUGCUUGUUCUCUUAUCUGUAACAGCUUUGGGAGAUAUACCUGUUUGUUCUUAUGCAUGAUGCAUGCGCUUUCUUUAUCCUUUUAUCUGUUUGUCCUCUUAUCUGAUGCUUUGGUAGAAUUCGAAACGUCCGAUAUCUGUUUGUGUUUAUGUCUGGUGCAUGCUCUUUUAUCUAUUUGUUCUCUUAUCUAUUGGUUUGGAAGAAAUGGAAACCUUCGAUAUCUGUUUGUCCUCAUGCCUGACGCAUGCGCUUUCUUCAUCCUUCAUCUGCUUGUUCUCUAGCCGAUGCUUUAUUAGAAUUGGAAACGUUCGACAUCGGCAUGUUCUUGUGCCGCAUGCGCUUUCCUCGCCCUUAUCUGUUUGUUCUCUUAUCUGAAGCUUUGGAAGAAUUUGAAGCAUUCGAUAUCUAUUUGUUCUUAUAUCAUAAUUGCAAAAUGUGUAACGAGAAGCUAUGGAGUUGCUUGUGUAUGAACAAAGGGGGAGAACUCCUCACUGCCUACCGACCAACAGAGAGAGACCCAAAGAAGUAUAAAUCCGAAUGUUCACAUUCUCUCUUGUGUUCAUUUUAGUGCUAAAAUAUGCCAAAAACAAAAUUACAUAGCUCAAGGACCCUUUAGUUAAAUCUAAAUUAUGUCUAUUUAUUGUGUCUUAUGUCCCCAUGAUAACAUUUAUUGUGUCUUUUGUCUUAUGUCCAUUUCUUUUUGUUCUUGGACUAUCCAUCAUAAAGCAAGUGGUUCUCAAUCUUGACAAUGCCCCACAAACAGCCAUGGACCAUUCAUCAUACUUUGCUUGGAUCGGCAUGCGUUUACAGUCCCAAUAUGAGACUUUAGUUCUCAGACAUGUUCUUGUUGUUGCCUUCCUUUAACUGACCGUGCGUGUUGCACGCAUGCAUCAAUUGCAACAGCAAGCCAUAUGUAUUAGAAUGAUGCUGUAGGUGAGUGCCUGAGGGGGGAGGAGAACCCGUCGGCCGCACCGCCCCGACUUUACGGUGGACAGAGUGGCCGUCCACUGGCGACUGGAUUAGUGUCGGCAAUUGCUGCCAUAUCGUACUCCUCUAAUGUUGCGUCCAAGUAGUAGAAGUAUUGUUCUCUCCCUUCUUAUUAACAAAAGAUCAAAGUGGCAUAACAAAUAGCCCAUGGGAACGAAGAGGAGGGAGGAUAGAGGUGACCAGAGAGGAAAAUGGUGGAGGAAUACAGUCAGCUGCACUAACGACAUCUCAAGAUGUUGCUCUGCCACUACAACCUGCCUCCCUCUUAAGCCGCUUCUCCGCAAAGUACUCGCCAUAGCUCAUGAUCCAAAACCUCUCGAUCUCUUCUGCUUUCCUCCCUGGGACUCGACCGGCUAUCAGACCCCACCUGCAUAGCACCACAACGACUUGGGAGGUAUCCGAAGGUUAAACUGAACCCUCUUAACAUCAUAUAUCUGUCUACUGUCCUGUAACUUUCGUACAUAACCUUAAAGAGUUGUCAGCAUCAUCGGUUUAUGUGCAUCCUCGCAUUGCUAUCUCUAUCAUGAUUAUCAUCAUCAUCGUAUUUCCGGAUGCUAAUUAUUACUGAUGCUAUUAGCCAUAGAACUUUGAAUUCACCGAGAAGGAAGUUAUGAAACGGAGACAGAGAGCGGGGUAAGAAAUUGCUGCUAUUGUAGUAAAGUUUUAAUGUUAACAGGUCAGAUGGAUGGAUUGAAUCACCCAUAGAAUCUGUCACUUCCACCUGUCUGUACAGGUGAAUUUAAGAUGCAUUUAAUGGGAUGAUGUGAUCUACUAUAUACCUGAUUGAUAGGACAUCAACGUAUCAGGUCCGUGCAGCUUCGCAGCCUUCCCGUCCCUCUUUUUUGCUGCUUCACCUUUUCAAAUGAGAGCAGAGUUUCCAAGAAUCAUUUCAUGUUUCACCUUCUCUCACUUGGAAAAGGUGGAUUCUGGAACUCAAGCCCUCAGGAUCUAAAAGUCACAUACUGUGAUCGUCAUAAAUCAUCUCUAUCGAUGCUUUUUUAUUCUACUUUCGUUAUGACAAUUCCAAAGUUUAUUUGAUGGCUUUUACAAACAGAUGGCCUUAUACCAUGACGGCACUAUCGUGAUGAGAUUCCUGUUUGUUGAUGCAAGACAUGCAAGAAGAUGGCAUGCUUGGCAGUCCACUAGUAUGAUAUGAGUCUAUAAUCUUGUUUGCUAUGUUUUCCGAAA